rnacentral:rRNA from 1 species
CCCUGCUCAGGACGAACGCUGGCGGCGUGCCUAAUACAUGCAAGUCGAGCGGACUGAUGGGAGCUUGCUCCCUGAUGUUAGCGGCGGACGGGUGAGUAACACGUGGGCAACCUACCUGUAAGACUGGGAUAACUCCGGGAAACCGGGGCUAAUACCGGAUAACCCGUUCCUCCUCAUGGAGGGACGGUAAAAGAUGGCUUCUUGCUAUCACUUACAGAUGGGCCCGCGGCGCAUUAGCUAGUUGGUAAGGUAAUGGCUUACCAAGGCGACGAUGCGUAGCCGACCUGAGAGGGUGAUCGGCCACACUGGGACUGAGACACGGCCCAGACUCCUACGGGAGGCAGCAGUAGGGAAUCUUCCGCAAUGGACGAAAGUCUGACGGAGCAACGCCGCGUGAGUGAUGAAGGUUUUCGGAUCGUAAAGCUCUGUUGUUAGGGAAGAACAAGUGCCGUUCGAAUAGGGCGGCACCUUGACGGACCUAACCAAAAGCACGCACA